UGUGCGCGAGUCAUUGGGANGCAAAACCUAAAGGCGCAAUGAAAGUGAAGGUCGGCCUCGCGCCGACCGAGGGAGGAUGGACCGCGUUUCGAUGCGGUCCCGCACUCCCGGGGCGUCUCGUUCUCAUUGCGAGAAGAGGCGCACCCAGAGCGUACACGUUGGGACCCGAAAGAUGGUGAACUAUGCCUGGUCAGGACGAAGUCAGGGGAAACCCUGAUGGAGGUCCG
rnacentral:rRNA from 1 species